rnacentral:rRNA from 1 species
GAUGAACGCUGGCGGCGUGCCUAAUACAUGCAAGUCGAGCGGACGGACGAGGAGCUUGCUUCUCUGAUGUUAGCGGCGGACGGGUGAGUAACACGUGGAUAACCUACCUAUAAGACUGGGAUAACUUCGGGAAACCGGAGCUAAUACCGGAGAAUAUUUUGAACCGCGGGGUUCGAAAGUGAGAGACGGUCUUGCUGUCACUUAUAGAUGGAUCCCGGCUGCAUUAGAGAGUUGGUAAGGUAACGGGUUACCAAGGGAACGAUGCCUAUCCGACCUGAGAGGGUGAUCGGCCACCCUGGAACUGAGACACGGUCCAGACGCCUACGGGAGGCCGCAGUCGGGAAUCUUCCGCAAUGGGCGAAAGCCUGACGGAGCAACGCCGCGUGUGUGAUGAAGGUCCUCCGAUCGUAAAACUCUGUUAUUAGGGAAGAACAUAUGUGUAAGGAACCGUGCACAUCGUGACGGUACCUAAUCAGAAAGCCCCGGCUAACUACGUG